GCAGGAGAAUCACUUGAACCUGGGAGGCGGAGGCUGCAGUGAGCCAAGAUCUCACCACUGCACUCCAGACUGCGUGACAGAGCGUGACCCUGUCCCAA